rnacentral:misc_RNA from 1 species
AACGCACGAGACCUGCGGACCUGCGGAAGGAUCAUUAGAGAAGAGGAGAUUAGUCUCCUUUUUUUUAACACUUGUGAACAGUGGUUAGUUAUUCUCCAUUCACACGUAUGUUGUGGAUGGAGAAAGAUAAAAGACACAGUUGAAUGAAACACUUUUAAAUAAAAACACUAAAGUCACAACUUUUAACAAUGGAUCUCU